CCAAAGAACAAUUUAUUUCCUUAAAAGGAGUCAGAUUUUCUGUGAGACUGGACUGGCUAGGGCACUAGAAUCGGACUUUGGAGCCUUGGAUUCCAUUCCCAGUUCAGCUCUAGACUUCUGCAGUGACUUUGGGUACGGGAUACCGCCCUACUUGCACUCCUGCUUGUGACCACAGAAAAAUCCCUUGGUGGGGUUUGAAGGACUGGUCACCUGCCUGGGCCUUUGUUGGAGUUGAGAUGAUCUCAGAUCCUAGACACUUGUAGCAGCUGGAAACAAUGAAACAAUGAAGAAAGCCAAGACCAUGUGGCCUGUCAGAUCUCAGUAGACCACCGGUGAUCUCUGGUCACAAUUUGAGAACCACCAGAUCUACAGGAUCAUGAGACAAUGUAAAUCAAUCCCUACUUCCACACCUGUGGAGGGCCUUUGUGUGAACCAAUGCAGUAUGAUGGAAGGUGGAGCUAUCACCUGCACAGAGGAUGAGAGUGGAGUGCGUAGGCUGGACCAUAUCUGAGAGAUAUACCACUGCAUGGAAGCUCCUAUCUUCCAACCACAAGGGAAGGGAGUGUGUGAAAAGGCCCCACAACCAGUGGGCUGAAGUAGUCACCAUGACGCAGCUUGGCAGCUGCUCCAGGGCCCAUCUUCCCACCUCUACAAUGCAAAUGUACGGCUACUUGGGCUUCCAGCUGAGGGCUCUAAAUACAAAUUUACAACACAUCUGAAUAGAGUUGCAAACCUCUAUACAAAAUAGCUCCAUGUUGUCUCCACAACACUUAUUUCAAUUACUUGUCAUAAAAAAAAAUUGAUGUGGAUUGAAAUAACCAUUUUGUCCAGGGAAGUGACCAGCAUCACUUAAUAUAGGAUAUUUUGGGUGAACACUAACGCAGUAACACAACACAUGAAUGCCAACACUUCACUUGUCCCAGAGGAAAACGAAUGUGGUUCUUUCUCUUUGGAAUUCAGGUGCCUGCCACUGAGAUGAGAAAGGACACAACAAACAAUAUGCUUUAAUUUGUCUCAAGGCUUAAAGGGAUUCCAGUAUUUAAAAGUUCCCUGUUCCUAUUCAUGAAUGCAGAUUACACUGGUCUACAAUUUUUGAGAAGUCGUCUGCUUCAGAGAUAAAAUGUGCUAUUUAUUGUGUAUUUUGAUGUGCUGAAUUCAAAUAUGAUAAUUAAAACAACUGAUUGGCUACUGUUUCUAAGAUAUUUAAGUUUUUAUAUUUUAUGUCAAUGUAUAUUGUGUAGAUAGUAGAGUUUUAAUCAUAA